rnacentral:rRNA from 1 species
CAAGCAAAAUGAAUUAUAGUUUGAAUCCCCGAAACUAAGUGAGCUACUUCGAAACAGUCUUAAGAACAAACCCGUCUCUGUAGCAAUAGAGUGGGAUGAUUUCCAAGUAGAGGCGAUAAACCUACCGCACUUAGAGAUAGCUGGUUACUCAAGAAAAGAAUUUAAGUUCAACCUUAAGUUUAUUAGUUACAAAAAAACAAACAAAACUUAAGAGCUAUUCAAAUAAGGCACAGCUUGUUUGAAACAGGACACAACCUUUGACAUAGGGUAAUAUUUAAGAAUCGGUAUCAAGUGGGCCUAAAAGCAGCCACCUCCAAAAAGCGUCAAAGCUUAACACCUCCUCAAUUUAAAUUUCUCUAUACACCUUCAACCCAUCACUUAUAUUGAGUAAUUCCAUAAGCCUAUGGAAGAUAUAAUGCUAGAACUAGUAACAAGAAAACACUUUCUCCAAAAUAUAAGCCUAAGCCAUUAUUGACAUACUGCUGGCAAUUACCGCAAAUGAACACACUAUAGUAACUCAAACAAGAAAACCCUAUAACCCCUAACGUUAACCUUACACCAGAAUAUUUAUGGAAAGAUUAAAAGAAAAAGAAGGAACUCGGCAAAAUUCAACCC